rnacentral:rRNA from 1 species
UCCCCGCACAAGCGGCGGAGCAUGCGGCUUAAUUCGAUGCAACCCGAAGAACCUUACCUGGGCUUGACAUCAUGGGAAAAGCCGUAGAGAUACGGUGUGCAUUAGCGUCCAUGACAGGUGGUGCAUGGCUGUCGUCAGCUCGUGUCGUGAGAUGUUGGGUUAAGUCCCGCAACGAGCGCAACCCUUGUCCUAUGUUGCCAGCGGUUCGGCCGGGGACUCAUAGGAGACUGCCGGGGACAACUCGGAGGAAGGUGAGGACGACGUCAAGUCAUCAUGCCCCUUAUGUCCAGGGCUGCACGCAUGCUACAAUGGCCGGUACAACGGGCUGCGAUCCCGCGAGGGUGAGCGAAUCCCUUAAAGCCGGCCUCAGUUCGGAUUGGAGUCUGCAACUCGACUCCAUGAAGUCGGAGUCGCUAGUAAUCGCGGAUCAGCAAAGCCGCGGUGAAUGCGUUCUCGGGGAUU